rnacentral:rRNA from 1 species
CCCUUAGAUGUUCUGAGCCGCACGCGUGCUACACUGAGUGGAUCAGCGGGUCAGGUUGCGCGAAAGCGUUUCCUAAUCUUUAAAUCCGCUCGUGAUGGGGAUUGACGGUUGCAAUUUUCUGUCAUGAACGAGGAAUACCUUGUAAGCGCGGGUCAUCAUCCCGCGCUGAAUACGUCCCUGCCCUUUGUACACACCGCCCGUCGCUCCUACCGAUUGAGUGGUCCGGUGAGGCUUUGGGAUCUGAGCGGAAAGAGCGUUUCGCUGUUUCUGCUCGGAAAACUCAGUCGAACCUUAUCAUUUAGAGGAAGGAGAAGUCGUAACA